rnacentral:tRNA from 1 species
UGCUUGGGUAGCUCAGUUGGUAGAGCACUUGCCCGCAAAAGGCAAAGGUCCCGAGUUCGAGUCUCGGUCCGGCAG